rnacentral:snRNA from 1 species
UACGGGCGAGAGACCGAU